rnacentral:rRNA from 1 species
UACAGAGGGGGCAAGCGUUGUUCGGAAUUACUGGGCGUAAAGGGCGCGUAGGCGGCCUUCUAAGUCGAACGUGAAAUCCCCGGGCUCAACCCGGGAACUGCGUCCGAGACUGGAAGGCUUGAAUCCGGGAGAGGGGUGUGGAAUUCCAGGUGUAGCGGUGAAAUGCGUAGAUAUCUGGAGGAACACCGGUGGCGAAGGCGGCGUUCUGGACCGAAACUGACGCUGAGGCGCGAAAGCCAGGGGAGCGAACGGG